rnacentral:lncRNA from 1 species
GAAAAUGUUCCAAUUGACCCACAGGACUAGCAAGUGCACCUUACAAAAUGAGUAAAAAGUAAUUGCAUACAAAAAUGGCGUGAAUUAAUUAAUUUUUGUGCUUCUUUAGCGGUGGAGAAGAACCCUAAAAGCUCUCUCCGUCUUCUUCAAAGUAAGUCCCUUUAUCUUUGCUUAAAUACUACACCAGUAACUGUCUAUUCAGUUUUUUUUAUAAAAAAAUCUCAGACAAAUCCAAGGAUGCGAAGAUCUUUGUUUCUGACCAUGACCCAUAUGCUUCUUUCUUUCUUCUUUUUUUAUCUUGAUUUUUCGGCUUGCUAGUUCUGUUAAUAGUGAAUUUUUUAGUUUCAAGACAUGAACUUUACUAUGGUUUAACAAUAUGAUUGUUAGUUUUUUUUUUUUAGUCUGUAAUUUGGGUUUUAAUUCAUUUUUGUGUGUCUGUAAUCUUUUUGGAGAUUUUUUUAGGUGAACACAAUGUUAACAACAAAUUGUGUUAAGGUUAAAUAAGUUAUCUUGAAUUGUCCAUGUUUGAAAUAAUGGAUGAAGAUAACAGUUUGAAUAUUCGUAAUUGGGGUUACUAUGAGCCAACACCUGUUAGAGGAAAUCUGGGUCUUCAGCUUAUGUCCCCAACAAUGCCUGAGAAACCAAUUUGGGGUUCGCGAAGUGCUGCGAUCAUGACAAGUAUGAAUGAAGGCUUUUACCAUAGGGAUAUUGGGAUUUCCCAGCCCUUGAUGCCUAUGGAGUACGUGAGGGACGCUUGGAUUGGCCAGAGAGAAAAGCUUCUCAAUGUGUUGCCUGGAAACCAUGAUUAUGCAGCUGUUUUGCCUGAAACAUCUUCAUCUCAUCAUAUGGAAAUGUUUCAACCACCUUAUUCAACAAAGGAUGAACCGCUGGAGCUAGUUGAAGAGGCUGGUGUUGUUGAAAAGGUAAAUGUUCCUAGUAAAAAGAGGCAGCGUCAUAAAGGCCCGAAAUCCCCAAGAGCAAAGAAGGGUAUGGGAGGCGCUCAAGUACCCAAACCUGAGGGUAGUCCUCCUACUCAACGAGCACGGGCUGCCAAGAAAUCCGCGGAAAUUAUGAUAAAUGGGAUCAACAUGGACAUUUCAGUCAUUCCCAUACCUGUUUGCUCGUGUACCGGCAACCCCCAACAAUGCUAUCGUUGGGGUUGUGGUGGAUGGCAAUCAGCAUGCUGUACGACAUGCAUUUCUGUGUAUCCCUUGCCUAUGAGUACAAAACGGCGUAGUGCAAGGAUAGCAGGGAGAAAAAUGAGUCUAGGAGCUUUCAAGAAAGUCUUAGAGAAACUUGCUGGUGAAGGCUAUGACUUCUCUAAUCCGAUUGAUCUGAGAACUCACUGGGCUAAACACGGUACGAACAAGUUUGUCACUAUUAGGUAGAUGUACCAUAUGGAUCCUUGUUCUGCUUGUACUCUAAGCUGUUUCAAACUUAUUGAUGCCAGGGAAACUGAUGUAAUAGAUGAGAUUUAUCAAUAGAUUCUUGCCUCAUUUGUGACUGAUUUUUCUACUGUUAAUUGUUAAGUGAUUCCUUGAUUCUUUCUUACCUUUUUUACUUGUGCGUAUUCUAUUUCAUCUGAUUUAGAAUAAAUUUGGAAUAAGAAUCUAAUUCUAGUGUAUGUGGCAGCCUCAUUCUUUCUGAAGUUAUUGCAGCAUGUGUAAAUGAAUGAGCAGUUCAUGGACCCAUGAUGUGAGGUAGUUGCUUUAGCCUUGCCACAUUGUUAGUGAGAAACUUGUUAUUGAUAACCCAACUUAGAGGAUGUUUUGCUUCUUUUUCCCUUAAGAGGUUGUAAUAACAUGAUAGUUCUAAGUCCUUUCAUGGCUACUGUGGGGUGUAGAUUGUGACAGUGAUUUAUUUUGUGACGAAUGCAUUUUACUCUUGUGGUGAUGUUCUAUAAUGCAUAGGCCUCUCGUCGUUUUUGUUCGAGUUCUUAUGUGGAUGAUGGUCUAACAAAGAUAGCAAGUUUUUUGUUCUUGCCGUGGUUGUCCUGCCUGCCAUUUGCUGGCAGGAUUGGAGUUUGUAAGGAGGUUGAAUUUGGAGUGAAAUAGAACUAGAAAAUUAAGGACCUGUUUUUGGUACCGUUUAUUUAACAACGCCCCGCGCUGCAGGAUCAGGCGUUGUUAACUUUUAUUUUUAUAACCAAAAAAAAAAUUAGUUGUUUAUACUUGUAAAAUACAAAUAAAUAAAUUGAGAAUUAUUUAUGUUAAUAAAUAAUAACUGAGUUAUAGAUUCCAACCAAAGAUUAUGUCUUAAAGUUGAGAUAAAAAUAUUUUUCAUGAAAUAAAAAAUAAUAUGUAUACAUUUUUUUUCUGUAAUUGAGUUCAUAAUUCUUGAAAAGAAGCAUGUUCUUAGUCAUCAUCUCUAUUUGUUUAUGUAAGAGGAGUGUCGUUCAUCUAGGGAGAACAAUAGCUACAUAAUUAUAUUUAUAUUAUAUUCAUUAUUUAUUAGAUAAAAAAUUAUAUAUUUAUAUCUUAUUCAUAAAAUUUUAAAUAUUUAUUACUCAAGAACUGUUUAUUAUUCAACAUAAACUAAUAUAUAUAUAUAUAUAUAUAUAUAUUUAUUUUCAUCACUUAAUAUACAUAUAUCUCAAUAAAGUUUAACAAUAUUCAUUAACUUAUCUAUUUGAAUUAGUUCAAAUAAAUAUUUAUUAUAUUCAUAUUAAAUUAUUAUCUUUACAUACAUAUUUACCCUUGUCAAAUUAAUUUUUUUUUUCAUUAUAUCGAACAAGUAAUUUUGUCAUAUUAAUAACAAAAGCUAAUUAGAGUUGGAAAAAUAAUCUUUGUUAUGAGAGGAUUCACGGAUCAUUACCCUUCUAAAAAAAUCAAUGAAUUGGCUAUUAGAAUAAUACAAUCUUUUUAUUAGUCAUUGUCAUAUUGAUAAAGGACAAGUUAGUCUUUUUAAAUUUUAAAAGUACAUUUAAAUAAUUAAAUUACCCUUAAAAAAAAACUUAUUUAACUAGAGUUUAGGGAUUUCUUUUUUUUGUAUAUUCAUUUUGGGCUUUUAGUUAUUAUCAAGUUGACUAAAGAACAAUUUAAUAUUUUAAUAAUUAUAAAAUAUAAUUUAAAAAUCAAAGUUGGCUAAAACAUGCAAUGCGGGUGGGAGGCACUCGUAGUCCUUUAAUGACACGUACAGAGUCUUUUAGCAUCCAAAUGAUAGUUUCCAUGAAAGCGUUGGAAGCAUUGAGGUGUCUUUUUCCACGUGGAGCAACACUUCUCAUCAUUUAUGUGAUGGUAUGUCAUUAUCGAUUUUUUUUUUCUCUCUCCUCCUCGAAAUUUGCACUGGUCAUUCAAAGUUUUUCUUUUAUUUACCAUUAUUUGAACUUUGGUCCUCAGGUUUUAUUCUAAUUUUUGUUUCUGGCCCAUUUGUUAAAUUUAAUUUGUUUUCAUUUUAUUUUUAAAUCCAUAAUUGUAAUUUGUAUUCUUUUCAAAUGUGAUCCAUAUUCUUUUGAUUUUUAUUUUUUCUGGAUUCUUAUGUGAAUUUCAUUUUUCUUUUCAAUUUGUCCAUUCAAUUCCAAAUUCUAGGUUGUCAUCUCAUUUAUUUAUUUAUAUUUUAAAUUUGAUUUUCAUUCUCUUAAUUGUUUUUUUUUAAUCAUUUUGUAUAAAAUUUUCAAUUUCAUCGUUCAACAUUUUAUUUGUUAGAAAUUAGGUUUUGUGGUUUUUUAGAUGAGAUGAUUCUGAUUUAAUGACUCAAGUCACAGGUUUGAAAAGUUAACACAGGUUGAUAUUUUUUUUUAUUACAAUUUCAUCAUUUGAAAUUACUUAUAAUGGGCUUAUGAUCUUCUUCGGUUUCCUUUCAAUUAGGUUAUCUCAAUCUUAUGACCGAGGCAACAAUUAUUGUAAUACCCCACCUUACUAGCAAGAUAUUGUCCGCUUUGGGCCUCCUAGUCCAUCCAAAUCUAGGGCUUCCACCCAGGUCCCCCUCACGGUUUUGUUCUUGGCAGCCACACAUAACUCCAAAACGCGUCUUACUAAUCAAGGUGAGCAUGCAUUUAUAAGGCCCUAGCUCUGGACGCUCGCUUUCGAUGUGAGAUCUUAUAAUCCCCCUACCUUAAGACGAGCCGUACUCGGCUCUGAUACCAAAUGUAACACCCCCACCUCAUUAGCAAGAUAUUGUUCAUUUUGGGCCUCACAGUCCACCCAAAUCCAGAGCUUCCAUCCAGGUCCCCCUCAUGGUUUUGUUCUUGGCAGCCACGCAUAACUCCAAAACGCAUCUUACUAGUAAAGGUGAGUAUGCACUUAUAAGGCCCUAGCUCUGGGCGCUCGCUUGCGAUGUGGGAUUUUACAAUUAUGAUUGAUUAACUCGGGUAUAUUUUUAGAUCUUUUUUUUCUAUAUAUUUUUUUGGUUUUCUCCUUUAAAAUUAGAUUUAAAAAAAAAUUAAACUUCAUUAUUUUCCAUGUUUUGCUUUCUAUUUUGUUUGCAUGAUCCAACUUGCAAGGUUUUACAGCUUUAGCAAGGUUUGUACGUGUUUUAUUAUUUUAGGCAUUAUUUUUUUUUCAAUUUGUUUUUUAUGAGGUUGAUCUAACCUCACGACUCAAGUUGUGGGUUUGUCAUGUUAAUUGUGGUUGACUUGAGCCUUUUAAUUUUGUUAUUUUUUAAAUUUCAUUUUUUAAUAUUAAAUUAUUUUAAAAUUUAAAAUUUUAAUUUUUUUUCUUUUUGAUAAGCCUUAUUUUUUUCUUGUCAUUGUUAUAAUUUUUUUUUUAAAUCCAGCUCAUUUAUUUUCUUUUUUUUUCUAUUAUAUAAUUAAAUAAAAAUACUUUACUGCACCUAGUGGGUUAUAUAACUUGAAUCAUGAAUUUUUUUUUUUAAAACACUAAUAAUGUCUAAAUAUUACUUUUUUACUAUUAAAAAAAAUAAUAGGACCUUUGCGGAAGCUUGACUAUUAUUUUGGGGGUUUGAUAGAAAUUAUUUUUUAAAAUGUUUUUUAUUUAAAAAUAUAUUAAAAUAAUAUUUUUAAUUUUUAAUUUUUAAUUUUUUUGACAUAAAAUAUAAAAACAUCUAAAAUAUUAAAAAUUAAUUUUAAAAAAUUCAAAUUUUAAUAAAAAAUAAAUUCAAACUCAGAACGAAACAGAGACGAAAAGAUCUCAAAACACUAGCAAGUGCGCACCAACAUUCUCAAAUUCCUAGAUAAGGAGCACUUUCAAAAAUGAGUAAAAAGUAAUUACAUAAAAAAAAUGGCGUGCAUCACUUCUUUUAUCGUGCUUCUUCAGUAGAGAACAAGAACCCUAAAAAGCUCUCCACGUCUUCUUUCAAGUAAGUUGCUUUAUAUUUCCUAAAAUACUACGCCAAUGGCUGUCUAUUUUCUUUAAAAGAAGUUUUAUCAGACAAAUCCAAAAAUUCGAAGAUCUUACUUUCUGGCUAUGACUAAUAUGUUUUUAUUAUUUAUUUUGGCUUACUAGUUCUGCUAAUUGAGACUUCUGCUAGUUUCACGGCACAAACUUUACUGUGAUUUGACUAUCUGCUUAUUAAUUUUUUGGUUUCUGUGAUUUGGGUUUGAAUUAAUUUUUGCGUCUGUAAUCUUUUUGGAGAUUUUCUCAGGUGAACACAAUGCUGACAACUAACUGUGUUAAGGUUAAAUAAGUUCUCUUGAAUUGUCCAAGUUUGAAAUAAUGGAUGAAGAUAACAGUUUGAAUAUUCGUAAUUGGGGUUACUAUGAACCAACACCUGUUAAAGGAAAUCUGGGUCUGCAGCUCAUGUCCCCAACAAUGCCUGAGAAACCCUUUUUGGGUUCGCGCAGUGCCGCAAUCAUGACAAGUAUGAAUGGAGGUUUUAACCAUAAAGAUGUUGGUGUUUCGCAGCCCAUGCACCCUAUGGAGUAUAUGAGGGGAGCUUGGAUUGGCCAGAGAGAAAAGUUUAUCAAUGUUUUGCCUGGAAACCAUAAUUAUGCGGCUGUUUUUCCUGAAACAUCUUCAGCUCAUCAUAUGCAAGUGUUUCAACCACCUUAUUCAACAAAGGAUGAACCGCUGGAGCUAGUUGAAGAGGCUGGUGUUGUUGAAAAGGUAAAUGGUCCUAAUAAAAAGAGGCAGCGCCAGAAAGCUCCAAAAUCCCCGAAAGCAAAGAAGGGUAAGAGAGGCCCUCAAGUACCCAAGCCUGAGGAUACUCUUUCUGUUCAACGAGUAAGGUCUGCCAAGAAAACUGCUGAAAUUAUGAUAAAUGGGAUCAAUAUGGACAUUUCAGUCAUUCCUAUACCAGUUUGCUCGUGUACUGGCAACCCUCAACAAUGCUAUCGUUGGGGUUGUGGUGGGUGGCAAUCAGCAUGUUGUACGACAUGCAUAUCUGUGUAUCCCUUGCCUAUGAGUAUGAAAAGACGUGGUGCAAGGAUAGCAGGGAGAAAAAUGAGUUUAGGAGCUUUUAAGAAAGUCUUAGAGAAACUUGCUGGUGAAGGCUAUGACUUUUCUAAUCCCAUUGAUCUGAGAACUCACUGGGCUAAACACGGUACAAACAAGUUUGUCACUAUCAGGUAGAUGUACCAUGUGGAUCUUUCUCUUGCAUACAUUGCAACCCAUCAUGUUUGUAUUUGUGUAUAUUUAUGCAUCUUGUCUUGGCAGAGGCUUGCAAUGUAGUUUGUAGUCGAUGAGUUUCCGUCACAUUCGAUUAUUUUGAAAUUGUGCCUUUUUGGCACUGACUGUUGUUUUAUGGUCUUUCUGCAUGUAGUCUUAGCUGUUUCAAACUUAUUCCAGGGAAAAUGAUGUAGUUGAUGAGAUUUAUUUGAUAGAUUCAUGCCUUGUAGUGUCUUUUUCCUGAUCUUUUAAAUCUUAUGUAAUUGAAUUUUCUUCCUUCUAUUGUUAAUUGUUAAGAAAUUUCCUCUAUUCUUGUAUUAUUUAUGUAUGUGCUUAUUCAAUUUCUUCUGAUUCAGCAUGCGUUUGAAAUAACCCGUUUUUAGUGAAUCUGGCUGCCUCAUUCUUUAUGGACACCUGUGAAAAUGAUUGAUUGUUCAUGGCUUACCUAUGACGUAGUUGCAGAUUUUGUGAGUUAGUUUCUUGAGGAUUGCCACACUGUUAGUGAGAAAUUUGUUAUUUACUAGUAAGUCUAAGUUUUGAAGGAUAGUAAGGUUUCGUCAAACAAUCAGUUGGCAUUCUUGCUACUGUUUUGAAAUAUAAAUUAGUAUAUGUGGAUGGGUUUUGCUAGUUAGAUGGUGGAUUAAGAGGCAAUUAAUGAUUCCUGGUGUCUCAUCAUCUAACUUAGAAUAAACAGGAAAUCUUUCAGCUCUCUUACACGAAUUCAUAUCACCUGCCAAUCCUGCUCUUUUUGCAUUUUCUCUGCCAUCGUUGAACUUGUAGUUUAAUCAUCAUAGUUGGUGUAGAAUCCAACUGUGUCUGAUCAUUCUAGGAUAACCAACUUAGAGGAUAUUUUUCUUCUUUCCCCGUUAAGAGGUUCUAAUAACAUGAUAAUUUAGGUCCUCAUGAUUUAUGUGGGGUGUUGCACGUGACAGUAAUUUAUUGUCUGGUGAAUGCAUAUUAGUCAUGUGUCAAUGGUCUUCUAUCAUUCAUAGGUCUCUCCUGGUAGUUUUCAUUUUUAGGUUGGAUGGUUAAUAGCAAUUUUUGUUCUUCUUUUUUGCCAUUUUUGUAAUGCCCAUCAUUGUGCUACUUGCUAGGCCAGUUUAUGCUACGUCCCUUGCUCCAUUUAAAGAUGGAGGACAGCUAAGAGCUUUCCUUAUAGUCCUGAAACUGAUAAAAGACAUUUUUAAUUAAAUUUCAGUUGCUGAAAGAUAGCUUUAGAAUUGAAAAUUUGUUGGCAGGGUUGGAGUUUGUAAGGGGGUUGAAAUUAGAGUGAAAUAAACCUAGAAAAUUAAGUAUUUGGAAUCUGUUUUAAAAUCUAUCUGCUCUCUAAUAAAGGAAGGAUACCCUUUUAAAUCCCUCAUCUUGACAAUUGAUACUAUGUCGUGCCACAAUUGAUUCACACAGGCUGCACGGUGUGCGGUGUAAGUUGAGGCUAUGCUAUUUGGUGAAAAUGAUUGGUGUAGUUAUCUGCUCUUGUCAAGAGAGAUAUAUUUGGAUGUCAGAGCAACUUAGUACUUAAUACCAAGGUAGUAUUCACCCGGGGAACCUACCAGAGGAGCAGUAGGUUAUUCACUUGCACUAAGAGUUGCGUGAAGUUAAAAUGUGAAGGUUUAGGUGCUUUACGAACACAAUCAGAAGGUUUCCCACUUUCCCUUGCCCCAUUAUAUUGACAAGUAAAUUAUGUAGUGGUGCAAUGCCUUGGCAUUCAACAGUAAAUAUCGUAUCAUAUUAGGUUUCCUCUGUAUGAAAGUUCAAGCUUUGAGUUUGUGAAAGUUUCAAGACACUGAGCUUUUGGACUUUUGAUAUCUUGAAGUUCACAGUUUUGUAUUUCCUAUUAUGAUUUUGAAUGUCAAAAGGUAGAGAUUGGCCGGAUUUUGGUGAAAUGAUAAAAGCAGGGGUUUGGAAACAGCUGUAGUGUUAUUGUUUGGAUGCUUGAAAUGCCACUUAAUCCUAUGCUUUGCUGUUAUGGAUUAGAAAGGUGCUGACACUAAAGGGAACGAUAACACUAGGCAUAAAAAUGGUAUUGCAUUUCCACGAAUUUGGUGGUGAUGAUGAUAAUGUUACCAGAUAUGUCUUGAUUUGGUAGUGACACGGUGGUGAUGACAGCAGAACAACUUUAAAUUUUGUUUUUUUGUUAAAAUUUAAUAUGGUUUGUAUUUUUUGGAUAGUUUUGAUGUAUUCAUGUUAAAAAUGAUUUUUAAAACAUAAAAAAAUAUUAUUGACAUGUAUUUCGAUACGAAAAAUUAUUUGAAAAUCAACCAUUAUCAUAUUGUUAAAUAUAGUUUUAGACAUGGCCGUGUUCAACAAGAAGAGCUAAAGUUGCUGAUUGUUGUGAUGGGAUGGUGAAAGCAGGUGGCAGCCCUUAUGCUGCCACCGUGCAGGGGCGAUGUGUUUGCAUCAGUACAAGCAAAUUCUGCUUGAUGAAUGGAGAUGGCAGUAGUAUAGUACUUACGAGGUUGCAGUCGAGCUUGGAAUCUGAAAAUGUCAUAAAGACUACACGAGCGAAACUGAAAAUCAAAUUUUCAAAGCUAUUUCCAAGCAGAGGUGUCUAACAUUCUAGCACUGAUUUGUUAUUUUUAGCAUUGGGAUUUAACUGUAUUUAAAAAAAAAUUGAUUUUUUUAAUAUUUUUAUUAUUUUUAUUUUUAAUGUUUUUAGAUUGUUUUGAUUUUAUGAUAUUCAAAAUCAAUUUUAAGAAUUAAAAAAAAUUAUUUUAAUAUAUUUUUAUAAAAAAUAUUUUAAAAAUUAAUUGUUACUAUAGACCUAUUUAUUUAUGUGUUUCAAAAAUAUUUUUACUACAGGCCUCUAGUUGGAUUGGUUUAGCCAUAAUUGAACUUGAAAUACUUUUGCGUGAUAUACAUUAAAAAUUUCAAACUCAACUUUCAUGUGUUGCCCUACUAUAUACUUUGUACGAUGAAUUUUGAAUUUCUAGGCAGCAGGUACGCAUGCUGGUGAUGGUAAUGAAUGUGUCAUGUAAUUACUUCGUCUUAUAAAAUAUAUUUAUUAUUAAUAAAAAUUUAAUGAAUUUACACUAAUGAUAAAAUUUAUAAAACAAAUACUUUGCAAAAUAAAAAAGUAUAAAGUUAUUAUAAUUAUAAAAAUUUUAUUACAUCAAAGUAUUGUUUCUAAAUAUUCUUUGUUAAUGUUCUAUUAAAAAUAAAUAUUAAUUAAAGUUGUUGAUACAUGUUCAUUUUUUUAUAUAAAAAUAAAUAACUGCUCUCAUAAAAUGAGGUAUAAAGGAUACAUGAAACUAAUAUAUAAGUGCUUGUUAGAUGAUAUAUACACUAAAUUGACCUGUAAGAGAAUUGUAUAUGGAGAGGUCAUAUACGUCUAUGGAAAGACCCAUAUGAUAUUUAUAUAAUUGAUUCUUAGACUUGAGAUUACUAGGUUAUCUUAUAUAGGGAGUGUUAUGUUUUGAUCCUAAUCACAUGUUAUCUUAAUUAAGGAUAACAAACAAGCAAAUAUUGAUAUAAUAUAAACUAAAUGAAGAUAUUUAAGUACAAAAAUAAAUUUAUCAUUCUAGGUGAAUUAAAAAAAAUAUUUUAUCUAUUCUCAAAUAAUAUUGAUUGUGAGAUCAUUGGCUAAUGUGGAAUGAGUUUUGAAAAAAAUUUCAAAAUCUUAUUAAAAGAAUCAAUGAUUAUAAUGUUAAGAACUAAUAUAAUUUAACAAAACAAAUAUAUUGCAUGCUAUAAUGUCUAAAUCAGAAUAUUCUUGAUAAAGAGAUAAUAAUUACACUGAAAAACUAGUCACUGAAAGAUUAACUCAAAUUACUUAUGUAUUUCAUAAUAUUUGGAGGAUCAUGAUAUGUUGCUAAACAUUGUGUUUGAUCUUCAAAUAUAUGUCAAUCAAUUGUUAAAUUGAUAAUAAAUUAAAUUGUUUAAUUUAUUUAAUCUUAUUUUAUUUAGAAUUAUAAUUUAUAUUUAGGUCAACUUGUUAAGAAAUUUAAUGGGUCACACACAUAAAAACCAUUGAUUAUAAAUUAAAAUGAAAUUAUUAAUCAAGUGUGACUUCAUUGUAAAUAAAAUUUAAAAAUUAAGGAUUAAAAUAGUAUUAAUACAGGGAAUUACCAUUUUAGACCUAGAAACAAUCAAGUAAGAACUUGAAUUGAAUAAAUUUCUAAAAUUAGUCUAAAAUAAUAUAUGUGAUACUAUUUAAGCAGCAAAAUGAUAUUUUAUCAUAUAUAAGAUUUUUAGGUUUUUCUAUAAAUAAAAUACUAUAUCUUUUAUUUACAAAGAGAAGGUGAGUAGAGUAUAGUAUAGAAACACUAAAAAUAUAAAAUAAAAGAGUUAGCACUCUAAAGUAUAUAAAUCCCUCUCUGUUAAAAGGAUUUAGAAGAUUUCUCACCAGUGGUUUGUAUAGAUUAUCAUUAGAGGCCGAAUACUUGAAUAAUUUGUGAUUUGCAAUAAUUCAACCUUGAAGUAAAGCCGAAAAGAACAUUUGGUUAUCAGGUAAUCUUCGCAUAAAAUCUAAAAAAUUCUAGAUCUUUCUAAUAAGAUCCUUGAAAAUCUUUUAAAAAAUUAAAUUUAUUAUUUUUAUUGGGUGGAUGUAUUUCAAUAACUCCAAAGCAAUAGUUAGUUAUAAAUGGAAGUGUUGGCUUUUGCUUGUUUGUUUAGGUGGUAAAGCAAUUUUUGUGUCAUUCAUUACCUAAUUGUAAAGCUCAUUUGCUUAAAAAAAUAAUAAUCCAAAACAGAAGAAAGGCACAAAAAGCCAGAAGUUCCAAAGCCCAAUUGAUUUUGAGCUGAGUAUCCGAGUUCAGUCAUCUUUUCACUGCUGCUGCUCUUUCAAAAGAUAGUUUUCUCCGACCUUUCUCCGUUGCUUGUCCUUUCCAAAUUCUGAAGUCUAAACUAGACUGAUAGAGGCACUCAGACAGAUCAAAUGAAUUUUCCAUCCAAGCUCUGCCUGCCAGAUAGGAGGAGGUCAACAUUGUCCAGCCAAGUCAUCAAUAUGCCAAAAUCAAAGCUCGCCUCAUGGUUCCCUAGUCAACAGCAGCAUUUUCAUAAUUUAGCAGUCAGUUAUGGUCCCGUUUAAUUAACUCUCAAGUGGGUUUUGAAUUUAAUCUCCAAGUAAUCUUUUCCUUGACAAAAAAUCUUACAGGGCAGAGAAGCAAAUCUUAAAGUUCCAAAUUAUUUUUUUUGUUAAGGUUAGAUACAUGUUCAAAUUCUGUACUUGAUGCGUAUGUGCACAUGAUCAGAUAUAAAUAUUUUACUAACAAAUGUUCAGGAUCUAAAUGAGAGUUGAAGGAGAGCUGGUCUUCUGCAAUCUGGAUCCGCCAUGUCUCGAGAUUGAAGAGCUUAAUGUUCUCCCCAAAUCUCAACUUGGAAGAGCCUAGUCAGGCAAAAUCAAAAGCCUCUUUCAUCGUCUAGCUAGGUUGUAGCUAGCUACUGAUCUCGAACUCAGAAUCUUUCCUUUGCCUUCAACUAAUCUCCCUUUUAAGACUAAAGUUCUCUUAAGUGGUGCCAGCAUGGUGUCUGAUUCUGUAACCAGGUUCAUUGACUGCAAUGGAAUUUCCAGCCAAUCUAUGUCUGGACAUGUAACCAAGUCAUUUAUGGGAACAUUAGAUAAAAAUCCAAGCUGUCUCAUGGUUUCCUGGCGAAGAACAGCGUACAUGUCCUCGCCCAUAUUUUAAAGGAUGAUGCUCGCCAUUGUCAAGAUCAUCAUGCUAAGAGUACUGCAACUAAACUAAUCCGUGAGGUUUCAUCUCCAAAUCAUCCAUUUUGGUCUGAGAUGCAUGAAAGGAGUUCUGUACUUGAGGAACAUGUGCACAUGCAAUAUACUCCUAUUAGUUUGAGUGCUUGUUUGUAUUCUAAGCAUUUUGACAUCAAAUCCAGCUCAUGAAAAUAAUAAUAAUAAUAACAAUAAUGAUAAAGAUGGUGGGUGUUUGGUUUCUAUUUUCUCAACAAUUUUUGGCUAGAAAAGGAAAUCCUCAAACAAUUGCUAGCUAGACUACUCAUGGUUCACACAAUUAUAUAUAUGCUUUGAAAAUGGCACGUCUUGAUUGUUCCUCACACAAAAAAAAACAACAAGAAGAAGAAAUUGCAUGCUUAAUUAACUUGAAACCACAAAUAUAUAAUAUAUAAUACCAACUUUGUCACAUGUUUUAGCAAAAAUGUCAUACUUCACUAUAAAUUCAUAAAUAAAAAAAAUUAUUAGGGUUGAAGAUGGAUAGGUUCAUGAACUGAUAGUUGGGAAUUUCUAGUUGACCACAGUACUAUCAUGGAUGAGUGGGGACCCAUGAAACUGAUAAAAGAAAAGAAAGGGAUACAUAAACUAAUGUUUUAGACCUAAUUCUGUCUUCCAUGGAACUUACAAUCCAAGCUUCCCUUAACAGACAGAAAUGUGUGAGUUCAUGUUGACAAUUAUUUAUUAAUUAACAACAUUUUCUCUUGUUCUAACUAUUCACCUCACGAGUUGUCAUCCCUCUCAUAUUGUGAUGAAUUAGAUGGCUUGCCUACAAGUUGUGAUUCCAAAUUCAUAAUGAUUUUGUAGUCUAUAUAACACAUUUCUCACACUUGUUCAGUGAUGUAUUUAGAAAUUAAGGGAUGGGUUUAGGGAUUAAUUAAAUUAAAAAUUCUCAUUUUGUUGCCCUAGAUUUUGUAUCAUGGCCAGCGGGUGAUAUCACUAUUUUUCUAUCAACCAAAAGAUUCAACGAGCUUCGAGUAGCUUAUAUGCCCUUAAAUCCCCCAUCAAUGGAACAAAAAACUAUAUUCAUGACGUUAAAAUGCUUCCUACCACUAAUAAUUUUAGAUAGAAUUAACAUCAAUGUCGUUUAUGAUGUGAUUUGGAAUACCUAUUCUCAUCACUUCUUCUCACAGCAGCUCAAUAUAUAUUAUGAUGUAGUCGGGAAUAAGUAUAAAAAAAAUUAAAAAAAAAAAAGCUUUCCCUCCAAACCUUGAAGCCCUAACAUGGCAACAAGCUACCAAGAUGUCUAUAUUCACUCUUCUUCUUCUUCUUCUUUUAAUUUAGUGACAAUUCUGUAAAUUAGAAGUUGAGGUGUAUGGUGUUCGCUCAAAACUUGAAAAUUGAUUUUGUUUAAAAUGAUUUUUUUAUUGUUUUAUAAAUAUUAAAAAUAAAUUUUAAAAAAAUAUAAAAAAUUAAUUUAAUAUAUUUAUAUAAAUAAAUUUUUAAAACACAACGCGGAAACAACAAGAUCUCCUAAAUCAAGACAGGAGUGUUUUUUUUUUUAUAAGGAAAACAGAAGUCAACAAAGUAAUAAAUCCUUGGCAGUGUUUUGUUGAAACCUAAAAAAUGAAGGGAAAAAAAAUGUUUGCCGACUGACUUUACCUCUAGUACAGGUAGAAACAGAAUCAAUAUGCGGUAACAAGAUUGUGACAGUGAUUUAACACUUGUGAUAUAAGGUUUUUUCAACUUUUCUCGUAGUGGUCCAUAUACAUACAGUAAAUUGACAGAUUUAAACCACAAAUCAUGCGCACACGAAGCCAUCUUUUUUGUUUCUCAUCUUUACCUCACCUUUUGUUUAAUCUUUUUCUCUCUCUGUGUUGUCGCUUCUGCUUGUUAGCAGCAAUCAAGGCCAUCAACACAGAAGUAGAUUAUCCACAUCAUCAUCACUCCCUGGCAGGACCCGUUUUGAGCUAAGAAGAUGGGUUUUCUUUUUCUUUCUCUCACAAGGCAACACUAAAAAUUGUUGGGGAGGGAGCAAUAAAGCUAAACUUUAUGAUGUUCAUGCAUUACCUCUCCAUUGAUUAAUUAAACGGGGAUUAUAUGAGCUCAACUCAUUAAAAUUAUCUUUCAUUUGUAGAAUAUUAACAUUGAAAGCCAACCCAGCAAACCAUUUUGUUUUAUAUUUUUCCAAUUUGUUUAAUUUUUUUUUUGAUGAUUCUUGUAGCUCGUGCGUCUUAUUAUAAAUUAUUUAUUAACAGGAGAUGGCUCUCUUCUCUUUCUCUCUCACUUUCAUGUCCCCUUAUUAUCUCUUCUUGUCUCGGGGCCCGAUAAAUGUACUGCUACAGCCUGUAGGGUUGCACUGUACAUGUGAGCCCUUCAACAAUGACAGGACACUGGGUGAAGAAAUGGAAACAAAGCAGCACUAUAAAGCCUAAAGGACAAGAUUUCGACACGUCAAGCGAACCACAGAAGCAGCAGCAGAAACCAAUUCCUAUGAGUUUUGGCCCUCACCAGCUUCUCUAUCGUGCUAACAUCACCUAUAGUCAUGCUCACCACACCAUUAUUUCUACCUUUCACCCUUCUCUAUCACAGUCUAGACCUUCAAAGUUUAGCCCGUCAGCUAUCAUGCACCAUAAAAGAAAUGAAAAUAACUCACCAGUACAGCAGUUUGCUUUCAUGUGUUUGAGCAAUGGUUGUAAGGUCAAUAUAUAUUUGAUCUUACGUGGGACUUGUUUCACUGUCCUUCCUUUUCAUCAAGUGAACUUGUCCUCUUAUCGUCUCUCUGUCUCUUUUUUUUCAUGAGCUUCGACCUUUGCUAUACAAAGUGAAUAUUGCCCUAAGUUGUUAUUUUUAUUAAGACUCCAAGCUUAUCAGCAUAAUACUUUGUGAUGAAUGAACAGUAACUCAACUAGUAUUAUUAUUUUUCCUCCUUAAAAAACCUUGAAAUUCAACUUUUUUUUUUUUUUAAAAAAAAAGACCUUAUAAAACAUUGUCUUAACAAGUAUUAUACUUAAAAGAACAUGGGACCGGCUAACUCAAAUCCAAUUCUUGUUGGGUUUUAUUUUUAAUCAAUCUUUUUUCAUCCAAACAAGGUUAUUUUAUAUUUUUUAAAACAAAGUUAUUUUUAAAUCAUAAUCUUAGUUAAUUCGCUAACUUGCAAGCCAAUCUUAUGCGGCAUAACCUGUAGUUAGUCAAUCUUUAUCUAUUUAUAUGUAUAGAGUAAUAUACAAUAGUUAAGGUUGAGAUUAUAACACUAGAGUAAUGUCUAUAAUAUAUAUAUAUAUAUAUAUGCAUGCCCCCUCAAGUCGAGAGUAGAGGAUCGAUCCGAAGCUUGAAACGAAAAGCAGUAACAGAAGUAGUAGGAAGUGGUAAAGACAUCUGCAAGUUGAUCGUAAGAGAAAAUAAAAUGAAUCUGAAUCUCCUUCUUCACGACCCUAUCUCGUACAAAAUGAUAAUUAAGUUCAACAUGUAUUGUGCGAGAAUGAAAAACAUAAUUUACAUAUAAGUAAGUGGCACCAAGAUUAUCACACCAAAUGGUAGGAGCAUAAACAUAAGGAAUUUGGAGAUUUGACAAUAAAUACUGAAGCCAGAUAACCUCAGUAGUGACAUCUGUUAAGGCUUUAUACUUAGCUUCAGAAGAGGAGCAAGCAACUGUACGAUGCUUACCUGAUUUCCUCGAAAUCAGCUUCUGACAAAAAAAAAACAAGAUAACCACCGGUAGAUUUUCGAUCAUCAAUACUACCUAUUCAAUAUGCAUCCAUAAAAUCAUGUAACAUAAAAGAAGAACUGUGAGUAAUAUGUAGGUCAUAUAUUGUUGUACCCUGAAGGUAACGCAAAAUGCAUUUAACGGUAGUCUAAUGAGAAUCUGUAGGAGCAUACAUAAACUAACAGACUCUGUUAACAACAAAGCAAAUGUCUGGUCUAGUAAAGGUGAGAUAUUGAAGAGCACCCAUAAUUUGAAAAAAACAUGUAGGAUCAGAAAACAAAGGAUUUGGCAGUAUGAUAGCUUUGGAAGUAGAGAUAAAAGUAUCAAAAGAUUUGCAAGAUAUCAUACCAGCUCAAGUGAGGAUGUCAGAUGUAUAUUUAUGUUGUUGUAGCAUCAGACCCAUACCGAUGGAUUGAACCUUGAUGCCCAAAAAAUAAUGAAUAGUACCUAAGUCGUGAAGCUUAAACUUUAAGCCCAGCAACUAUAUUAAGCGUUUAAGCAUAGUAGAGUUGCUACCUGUAAGCAGAAUAUCAUCAACAUAAACCAAGAGAUAAUAGAUAUCAGUACCAACAUUUAAGAUAAAUAAGAAGGUGUCAACCUUGGAAGCGCGAAAACCAAUAGAAAGCAAAAAAUCAUUUGGAAAAGUGUACCACGCCCGCGAAGCCAAUUUUAAACCAUAUAGAGACUUAUGCAAUCUACACAUGAAAGGGAAGGGCUGAGUCAACAAAACCUGGAGGUUGUUUCAUGUAGACCUCUUCGUCAAGAACUUCAUUGAGAAAGGCAUUGUGGAUAUCAAACAGAUGAAUCUUUCAAUCACGCAAAACCACAAUGGAGAAGAUUAGUCUAACGGUUGCUUACUUGAUAACAUGGCUGAAAGUUUCAUAGUAAUCAAUACCUUCUUGCUGAGUAAAACCUUUAGUAACUAGGCGCGUCUUAUACCUCUCAAUGAUGCCAUCAACCUGGAAUUUUAUCUUGUACACCCAUAGACUACCAACAACAUUUAUCAAAGGAUGAAAGGGAACCAAGGUUCAAGUUUUGUUAGCGCGCAAGGUCUGAAUUUCCUCGCGCACAGUAUUAUGCCAAACCUCAUACCUGUUAGCAUUAGUAAAAGAAAUGGGUUCAUGGGUAGGAGGAGACACUACCCAACAUAUUGAAGCAGUAGUGACGGUGGCAGGUAUUGUUAACAAUGUUAUUUUUAGCUGUCGAGGACGGAGGACCUUGUGAUGCUGACAAGCAGCAGGUCGAGGGAAAGAAGAAUUUGUACCUAUGAGUUGUUGGAGAGAAUACAAAUAGAGAUCAACAUAAAGUUGUAGAUCAACUAGGGAACUUAUCGAGGGGCCAGAUUGCACAACAGACAAUAGAGAACCUGUUGCAGAACUUGUUUGUUCUACAGUAACAAACCUGGAAGUAUCAACUUCUGUAGAGGGAGAACAUAUUCCUAUAUAAUGAUCAUUAAAAAAAUAAGCAAAUAGUGAUAUUAUGGCAGGGCUGGGUGGCGAUGGAAUGGUUGCAGACCUGGUGGGCAAGUGGUGGGUUUGAAGGGGUGCGACAGAUGAUAGGUCAGGGGUGUUAGUUUGACGAGUUUUUUGGGUAGUAGGCUGAAAGUUUUAUGGAGGAUUCAAGGUUAGGAGGUAUGUAGGAUAUGUAUAGGUAACCAAUUAUUGUGAUAUCUAUUCAGAAUUCAUAAAAGGAAAUAUAUCUUCAUGAAAACAAACAUGAUAGGAGACAUAAAUAUGUUUUGAUAUUAAAUCAAGACAACAAUAACCAAGAUGAGAAGAACUAUAUCCUAAGAACACAUGUGGAGAGGAAUGAAAAUCCAACUUAUGAGUAUGAUAUGGACGCAAAAAUAAAAAACAAAGACUUAUAAUUAUGAGUACGAUAAAACAUAUACUCAGACGAAAUUUUAUUUUCAAGAAUAAGAGUAGGCAUGCGAUUAAUAAGAUAUAUUAAUGAUUCAAAAGCAUAGUUUCAAAAUCAUAACGAAACACUACAUUGUCCUAGAAAGGUAAGGCCGAUUUCAAUAAUAUGCCGAUGACGACGCUCAAAGGUGUCAUUUUGUUCAUGGGUAUGGGGACAGAUUAGCCUAUGAUGAAUACCAAUAAUCUGACAUAACUGAUGUAACUUAUAAUAUUCACCACCCCAAUCAAUUUGAAUAGAUUUAAUUUUACAUGAAAAUUGAUGCUCAACAAGUAUUUGAAAAUGAUGAAAAAUAGAAAACACAUCAGAUUUUACAACAAGAGGGUAAUACCAUGUAUGUUUGAUACGCGCAUCAAUAAAGAUAACAAAGUACAAAAACCAUUAUAAAAAACAUAGAAGCAGGGCCCCAAACAUCACUAAACAUUAAAUCAAGUGGACAGUAGUUUUGUAACCCAUAGGUCGUAACGACAGACGUGAGGACUUACCUAAUGGACAAGUUUGACAUUGAGCAAGAGAGCAUCUAGAAGUACAAACUAAUUUACUUUUAGAAACUAACAAAUUUAAAAUGUGGAAAGUUGGAUGACUCAAACGACGAUGUCAUAGAUCAACAAUCACGAAGAUUGAAGAAGACCAAUACACUUUAGAGAUUGACAUGGUAGAAGACUAGAUAGGACAUAGAGACCAUUAUUAUUUUGACUAGAAAUUAGCACUUCCUUGGUGAUGAGAUCCUUGACAUAAAGCACAGAAGCGUGAAAUUCAAAAUAAACAUGAUUAUCACGAUAAAAGUUUUGAACAUAAAGUAAUGGUUUGGUAUUAUGAGGCACAUGAAAAACAUUAGAUAAUUUAAAAAUAUAUUUUGAGGAAUGUAACAUGGUAUGUCUAAUAUGUGAUAUAGUAAGGCCCUUACCGUCACCAACAUGUAAAUGAUCAUUACUAAGAUAGGAUGCAGAAUCAAUCAAAGUUGCAAGGUUAGGUGUAACAUGUUGGUUUGUGUAGAUGCCUGAUAACCAUGUAGUGACAGAAACGUUCCUAACAACAAAAUGAGGAGAGGGUUGUUAGGUACUGCCGUGAAACUAGACACAAUGUGGAGCUGUGUGGCUGAAGGUUGAACAUAAUCGACACUUGACAUUUUGUUGUCCAAACCCUGUAUUGCAUUUGUUUUGUUGCCAUUUGUUCUGCCUCUAGUCGACAGUAGUUAAGGACUUGUUCUAAUGAUUGUAACGAUUGUUGUUGGGACGCCAGUUGCACGAGAAUGAACUUUGUUACGGCUGAAAUUAGGGUUGUUAUAAGAUGUAGCAAAAUAAACAGAGGGUGUUAGCAGCAGUGGUGGUUGCGACAGUAGAGGUGAUGGCAAUAAAGAUGAGUUUACAUCCAUGGAAUUAAGGGAGUUCUUGUGCAGAAAUUCAUGAGUAAGGAGAUGGUUGAAAAAGUUGGCAUAUAACAAUAGUUCUGUCAUGGUUAUAAGACUAGUUACCAAGUCUCUGAACUCACUACGAAGAACUAUAUCCUAAAAACACGUGUAGAGAGGAAUGAAAAUCCAACUUAUGAGCAUGAUAUGGACGUAAAAAUAGAAAACAAAGACACUUAAAAGUACGCAAAAAGUUAUAAUUAUGAGUAUGAUGAAACAGACACUUAGACGGAAAUUUAUUUUCGAGAACAAGAGUAGAUAUGCGAUUAAUAAGAUAUACUAAUUCAAAAGCAUAUUUUCAAAAUCAUAACGGAGCACUACAUUGUCCCAGAAAGGUAAGGCCAAUAAUAUGCUGAUGACGACGCUCAAAGGUGUCAUUUUGUUCAUGGGUAUGAGGACAUAUUAGCUUGUGAAGAAUACCAAUAAUCUAACAGAAUUGAUGUAACUUAUGAUAUUCACCACCCCAAUAAAUUUGAAUAGAUUUAAUUUUACAUGAAAAUUGAUGCUCAACAAGUAUUUGAAAAUGAUGAAAAAUAGAAAACACAUCAGAUUUUACAACAAGAUGGUAAUACCAUGUAUAUUUGGUAUGCGCAUCAAUAAAGAUAACAAAGUAAUAAAAACCAUUAUAAAAAACAUAGGAGCAGGGCCCCAAACAUCAUUAAAUAUUAAAUCAAGUGGGCAGUAGUUUUGUGACCCGUAGGUCGCAACGAUAAACGUGAGAACUUACACAAUGGACAAGUUUGACAUUGAGCAAGAGAGUGUCUAUAAGUACAAAUAAUUUAUUUUUAGAAACUAACAAAUUUAAAAUGUGGGAAGUUGGAUGACUCAAACAAUGACUCAAACGACGAUGUCACAAAUCAACAAUCACAUAGGUUGAAGGAGACCAAUACAUUUUAGGAUUGAUGUGGCAGAAGAAUAGAUAGGACAUAGAGACCAUCAUUAUUUUGACCAGAAAUGAGCACUUCCUUGGUGAUGAGAUCUUGACAUAAAGCACAGAAGCGUGAAAUUCAAAAUAAACGUGAUUAUCACGAUAAAAGUUUUGAACAAAAAGCAACGAUUUGGUAUUAUGAGACACAUGAAAAACAUUAGAUAAUUUAAAAAUACAUUUUAAGGAAUGUAACAUGGUAUGUCUAAUAUGUGAUAUAGUAAGGCCCUUACCGUCACCAACAUGCAAAUGAUCAUUACUAUGAUAGGAUGCAAAAUCGAUCAAAGUUGCAACGUGUUGGUUUGUGUAGGUGCCCGAGAACCAAGUAGUGACAGAAACGUUCCCAGCAACAAGAUGAGGAAAGGGUUGUUGGGUACUGCCGUGAAACUAGACAUAAUGUGGAGUUGUGUGGCUGAAGGUUGAGCAUAAUCAACACUUGACAUUCUGUUGUUCAAACCCUGUAUUGCAUUUGUUCUGCUGCCAGUUGUUCUGCCUCUAGUCGACAGCAGUUAAAGACCUGUUCUAAUGAUUGUAACAAUUAUUGUUAGGAUGCUAGUUGCACAAGAAUGAACCUUGUUAUAGCUGAAAUUAGGGUUGUGAUAAGAUGUAGCAAGAUAAGUAGAAGGUGUUGGCAGUAGUGGUGGUUGCGACAUCAAAGGUGAUGGCAAUAAAGAUGAGUUUACAUCCAUGGAAUUAAGGGAGUUCUUGUGCAGAAAUUCAUGAGUAAAGAGAUGGUUGAAAAGGUCGGCAUAUGACAACAGUUCUGUCUUGGUUACAAGACUAGUUACCAAGUCUUUGAACUCACUAUGAAGGCCAUGAAACACAUAUAAAUUAAAAUCUUCAAGAUAUAUAGGCCGACUAGCAGCAUUCAAUUUGUCAAAUAACGGUUUUGCUUGCUGUAUGUAUAUAGUUACCGAUACAUCACCUUGCCAAAGAUCUUGAAAGGAACCAUAAAGUUGUAUAAUGGGAGAGUUAGACGAAGAUGCAAGAGCUUUUUUAAGAGUGCGCCAAACACAAUACGAGGUAUGAAAAUUUACCAUGAGGUGCAACAUAUCCAUGGAGAGAGAAGAGAGUAAUACACUCAAAAUAAAUUGAUCUUGUUGCUUUAAAUGAAUAAAAGAAAGGCUAAUUGUCAAAGAGGAACCAACAAAACUGUCAGAAACAUGAGAUGAAGGACACGACACUAAGCCAUCAACAAAGUGAAAAACACCUUGACCAAUGAGAUAUGACUUCACAUGCAUUAGACAAUAGAGAUAAUUUAUAUUCAUAAAUUUUAACAAAACAACUUGUUGGGUGUUGGACAAAGCUAUUAUAGCUUGAGUUGGUAUUCUCAUAAUAUUAAGAGGAACGAUAGAAACAUGAGAAAAAGAGUCAAUGAUGUGUUCUGCAAGCAAAUGAGGUUGUUGUUGUGGAAGAACACCACCAGCAGCAGCUUGUAGCCGAUUGGUUUGCAAUGACAGCAUGGAGGGAGAAGUCAGCAGCAGCAGCAGUAGAAUCCAUUUGAAAGAGGGAGAGAAGAGUUCCAAUGGCAGAAGGCUCUAAUACCAAGUUGAGAAAAAGUAAGAGGCAUAAUCUUUAGUCAGCCAAUUCUUUUCUAUUUAUAUGUUGAGGACAAUAUAUAAUAGUUAAGGUAAAGAUUACAACACUAGAAUAGUGCCUAUAACAUUUCCUAUAUAUAUGAUAACCCAAAACUUAAAUCCUGGACUAAUUUGAUCUUGUAUCUUGGAUCGAUCGCCUUUAAAUUUGGGUCGUUUAAUAUUUAUUAGAAAAUAAUAUAAAUUAUAUCUUGAGACCUCACCUUAUAGCUUAAGCUUUUAGAUUAACAUGAUUUUUUGACGUGGUAUCAGAGUCUUGAUAACCAAGCAGUCGCAAGUAUGAAUCUCAUUAUUCUUAUUAUUUGAUAUAAAUUAAAUAUAAGGUAAUAUAAGCUUAUAUAAAUUUUAAAUUUAAAGAACUUUCACUUAAAAAAUAAUAUAAAUUAUAUUUUCAAAUUUUAAGUAAAAUUAAAUUUCUAAAAUGACUGAGAUGUCUCUUUUAACACUGUCAAAGUAAUUAGGCUAGACUACCACUGAAGCUAAUUGUCUGAUAAAUAUGCUGUUACGUAUUAAGUGUGUUUGCAUGGAUGACGUGGUUGCUGGAGUUGAUGACUUGAGGGGCAGCAUAUUGAUUCGUCGGCUGGAGUGGCCCUGGCAAGUGGCAGACGCAAAUAUAUGGAAUAUGAAAUUCCCGACGACUUUUGCCUCUCCAUUCCCGACGUCAAUUAUUGGACAUGCCCAUGCCAUUCACGGGGCCUCCUUUUCUCCUAGCUUAGCUUGUUCUAUAUUAUAUUAUAUUUUAUUUUAUUCUAUUUUAUUGGGACAAUUAAGCCCAUCAUUUUGGUUGAAUAUUACAGCAAGAGGAGGAGGAGAAGGAUUCCAACUCAUUCUUCACCUAGAACGAUCUUACUAGGACAGAGAGACAGUGAGAAAGAGAGAUGUUCCUUUGAAUUUAUUCUUAUUGAUGAGUGUUUCUGCUUGCAUUCAUGAACCAACACUAUAUAUAUAUAUAUAAAAAGAUAAGAUAAUCUCUUAAGUAUCUCCCCCUUUGUACCUUUUGCUUUCCAAGAUUUACAACCGUGCCAUUCAGAUUUUGACCUACAAGGAAAAUGAUUUACAACCGUGCGUCGAGGAAUUUAUUUUUUUUCUCUCUAUGAUUUCAUUCCAAAAUCUUAUGAACUAAAUACAAGACGAAGACUUCAUAUUGUAAGUUUCGUAGUAAUAGGUAAUUUUUUUUUAAAAUUAGAAACUUUAUUAAUCAUGUCACGGUGUUUUUAUAUAAGAAAAUCCAUAUAUGAUUUCAAUUGUGUUAAAACUAAAUAUUUUUCACAUAUAAUUGAAUGAUCUAGAUAUAAAACUUUCAUAAUAGAAGUUUCUAACAAAUAAAAUGUAUUUACUUCAAAAAAAUCCCUAAUAUUUUGUAGCAAUAUUAAACAACUUCCUUGAUCCAUGGUUUCUAAUAAACCAAUUAAAGCAUAGUAUAUAUUUUUAUUAAGAUUUAGUGUUAAAUAGAGCUAGUUUUGUUUUUUAUUUAACAAUUAGGGAUACGAUUCUCGAUGUUACAAAACUACUUUUUUCAAAAAUCCAGUUCAAACUAAAUAUUAUUUCAAAUGAAUUAUUAGUUGCUUUUUUGACAACAACUUAAUAAAUAUUUCCAGCAAGAAAAAAAAAGAAAAGAGAAAUGAUUGCGCCAUAUGUAAAUUAAUUAAAGAGUUGAGAAAUUAAAUUAUUUAAACUUUGAUAGGAAUAUCAAAGCUAUUUAAACAUUAUUUGCACAUCAAAUUAGAUGGAGGAGGAGGAGGAAGAAGAAGAAGGGGAAAGAAUAUAUAUAUAUAUAUCGUUAAUGUAAAUAAAAUAACAAUGUAGGACCAUUAUAGUAAUUCAAACCCUCUUAUCUUCCAUUAAAUACAACUAUUGUGGUACAUCAAAACAGUACAUCUACACCCUCCAAAUUAACAGAGACAUAGAAAGCAAGAAGAAAAGAGAGAGACAUAAGCACAAUGGAAAGUGAUAACACAAACGAUCUGUUCAAAGAAUGCCUAAGAAACCAUGCAGCCAGUCUUGGUAGCUAUGCCACAGAUGGGUGUGGUGAGUUCACCCUAGAUGAUACCUCAUCACCAUACUCCCUCCAAUGUGCAGCCUGUGGUUGCCACCGCAACUUCCACCGCAAAGUAACAUACAGCAACAGCAGCAACAGAAGGGAUCACAUAAUGCACCCACCAUCAUCAGAGACAGUGGUGAUGGAAAUGAUAGACUACGCAGAAGGGAAUAACGAGAGGGAUUUCAGGCCACCAGUGAUGGUGGUGGAGUCAGGUGAAAGGAGUGGAAAAAAGAGGUAUAGGACUAAGUUUACACCUGAACAAAAGGAGAAAAUGUUGGGAUUUGCAGAGAAGUUGGGGUGGAAGUUGCAAAGGAAAGAUGAAGAAGAUGAAGUUGAGAGGUUCUGUAGAGGAAUUGGGAUAAGUAGACAGGUUUUUAAAGUUUGGAUGCAUAAUCAUAAGAAUUCUUCUUCUUCUACUUCUGCUUCUACUGGCAAUGCAUCUUCUCUUACUACUCAAGAAGAAGGAGGGUGAAGGAGAGGAAUAUUUUUUUUUCCAUGUAUAUUUUUUCCAUUUUAUCUUUGGUUAAUUUUUUUUUCUUAUCGAUCUUUUAUUCAUGCUUGGUUGUUAUCCUUGCUUUUCCUUUAGAUGACAGGCUUUCUUUAUUAUUAUUAUUUUUUUGUUUCAUUUUAAUCCUAUGAUUAUCUGAUAAAAAGGAGAAAUUUUCAUGCAAUUUCAGAAAAAAGGUGCUAUAUUAUAUUGACCGAUUAGAUUGUGGGAUCUUGAAAAAGAACUUGAAAGCAACUAAUUGUAAUUUUAUUUUCUUAAUAUAACAAAUUCUUUUGUUAAUUAAUAAUGCAUGGAUCGAUGUAUGGUACAAUCAAGAGGAGCUAAUGGUUCUUGUAUAUAUUGCUUGUAUAAUUAAUUGUCUAGAAUUUACGGCAAUUUAAUUUGUUUGAAGUAGUUCUCUCUUGUAGAAAAUGGCGUGGGAAUUUUGGGGGGAAAUUGAUAAUUAUGCUUAAUAGCUUGAUUUUGUUCUCCAACCCCCUAUUUACUGAUGAGAUUCAAGUGAUUAUUUUGAUAUUAUAUUAAAAAAUUAGCUAAAUAUAAAAAAUUUAAAUUGUUGAAUACUAUUAAAUAAUUUCAAAAAUAAUUUAAUAUUACUUUAAAAACUGUGCAAUAGUUGGCUUGCAAAUUGCAACUUUUCCCUUCAAAGAAUUUGAGAUCUUUCGUCCAUGUAUUGGACACUUGAUUAAUGCCAACGGCUAUAGGGAAGACAAUUGUAUGUGAUGAUUGGUUGUCAGAGAUUCGGAGUAUUUUGCUUUGGACAAUAUCUGUGGACUUACUAUUCUCAUAGCAUGCCUUCUUUACUUUGAAUUAUUUUUUUUCGAAAAAUUACAAAGUUACAAAAAAAAGCUAUAAGGGAAUAAUACAGUUUAAAAAAUUUCGAGGGGAAAUAGCAUAGUUUGAAAAAGACAUGUUAUGAAAUCAUGCUUUUAAUAUAAAUCAUGAUUCAGAAUCACGAGUUUAAUAAAUCCUCAAUUCUAAAUGGCAGUUAUGAUGAAUAUAUAAUCUCUUUUCUUAUGUUUUUUCUAUGUUUGCCGCUUUUGCAUAGUAGAAAACCUUAAAAUCAAACACCUCAUAACAAAACCAACCUCCAAUCUCUUAUGAAAAUAACUUUCGAUCCUCUACCAAACACCAGAAUCAUCUUCCCCAUGUCUCCAUAAGUCUUUCUAUUUUUUUUUUAUUGUAAAUUGUAAAUCCAAACUUCUAUCUACAGCCUCCUUGUUGCCACAACUGGUCGAACCGCCACCUAGACAUCAAAAAAUCAAGGCUAAACAGUUGUAUUGUCUCUUAUUUUUAUGAGUUUUGUUAUUGAAUUGAUAAAUUUUGAGUUUUGAUUUAUAACUAUUUGUGUUGUGUUUGUUGAUUAGAUAUUUUGUUGAUGUUGAGAUAAUUUUGGAUUUUAAAUGAAAUUACAUUUUUUAAUACAAUUAAUGUUAUUUAUGAAAUCAAUUAGGUUUGAAUUUGAGAAAUUAGGGUUUAAAUUGAUUAUUGGGUAACUUGCCAUAUUUAAUAAUAUUGUUUGAAUUGAGAUAAAUUUUGUUUUAAUUUAUGCGAUUAUAUAGACUUUUAAUCAAUUGAUGUUAUUAAUAAAGUUACGAGAAAAAUUACUAUAAUUGGGGACUUUGUUCAAUUGAGAUCAUUUAGUUUUUUUAUUGAUGCAAUUAGAUAUGUUUUCAUUGAUAUUAUUAGGUCAAAGUAAUAGCAAUUAGGGUUUGCAUUGAAUCAUGAUAUAAUUUGUUUUUUUAUGAAAUGGGUAUUUUUAUUUUACAAAAUAUAUCUUUAAACUUUUUUAUGUUGUGUCAUUAAAGUGGUACUAUUGUUCAUGAUACGAGUAAUAAUAUCACUUACAUUGAUAGAAGUGUUGUGUUCUUGAAUGCUACUAAAGACAUGUCAUUUAAAGAUAUCAAAAAAUGUUAUUUAUGGAAUACUUGUGUUGGAUUAUAAUGAUGUUGAAAUAGAUAUCACUUGGAGGUGUCUUGUUGGGGAACAUCAAUAUUUUUCGAUACCGAUUGUAUAUGAUGUGGAUUCUAGAAAUAUGAUGGAAUUGUUCGUUCAAAGUGAAACGAACAUAACGGAGUUGUAUGUAAAUAGUCGACGUAAAUUUAGUAGCUCAUAUAAUGGUAGCAUGGAGAUACUAAUGUAUCUAUACCCUUGUUUGCUCAGUCAUUUAAGCAAUUAUCACAUUUAGCUGGUGCUGGUAUGUCUAGGACAUUGAAAGAUAGGGUUAUAGGAAUUUAUGAUGAAAAUAGGAUUAAAAUUGCACAUUAUGAUUAGUGCAGGUAUGACUCCUCCAAACCUAGUGAUAAUAAAGAUGAGAGUGUCAUGUUCUAGAUUUUGGUCAUGAUAUUGGAUAUGAUGACAUGGUUUGUAACGAUUAGUUUGUUUAUCGUAGAAAAUCAGCUAGUAGUGGUGAUUUGAUAGUUGAACAAACUUUUAAAAAUAAGAUGAUUUGGUGAAUAUUUUUAAGCAAUGGCGCAUUGCACAUUUACUUGAAUAUCGAGUUCAACAUUCAAACCAAACAUUUGUUCAAUCACAAUGUGUUCAUACACCUGAAUGUCAACGAUACUUGCGCAGAGAUAUCAUAAAAGAUCAGAUUUCUUUAAGAUAGCAAAGUUGAAAAGAAAACACACAUGUAAAAAAGAUCACCAUCAGCGUGAUACAAAAUUGCCUAUACCUUGUAGUAUGACGAUUUAGCUUUAAGCAACACAUAUUGUCUAAUAUAGAUAUAAGGGAUCAAUUGCAAUCUAUUAGUCGUUCGGGUAGGCACGCUGAUUAUAAUUGGAUUAUUCAUCAUCUCUAAUAUUUAUCAAUAUGAGAUAUAUGAAGAAAUUAUAUUUUUAAAGAGAUGCUCCUAUAAUUUCCAAGGAGAAAUACAUGGGUCGGUAUUUGAGUAUAGCAUCCCGAAUCAUUACGCAAAACCCAGUGUGGGUUCCUUUAUGGGAGGAGAUGGAGUAUAAGUCAUUUGCACAUCAGAUUCAAAAUGUUGUAAGUAUUUGUUACUUUUUAUAUAUUUGGACAAAACUGUUGCAUUUUAUUUAUGGAUUAAUAAUUUAUAUUUGCUUCAUAUUAUGUUGGAAAGUUGUUACAUGGACUUGCUCAUUAUUAUGCAUUUUUUUUAUUCGAGACAUGUCAUACUACAAUUGACCUUUAGGAGAAACAUUAAGCCUAGAUGAUGUUGUCUCAGAGGAUGAGACUACACAGACAAGUAGAAGUUGUGCUAUUAAUGAAAUCAGCCCAUCCACUCGUCGUCAUAGAAGACAUAGAGAGAUUCAAAUGUAUUAUUACGUUGUGUUAUUUUUUUAGUUAAGAGUUAUUUUUAUUUUUACUACUUUUGUAAUAUUGUUUUAGCUAAUUAUCAUGUUGAUUUUAAUGUUGUCUUAUAUAUUAUGCAUUUUCAUACUUAUUUUAAAUAAACAUGAUUUAAAAUUGUUAAUUAAUAGGUAAACAUGUAAACAUCAUAAACAGGUUGUUUAAAAUUUCAAAUCAUCCAUUUAAAAGUUAAAAAAUACAAAUCGCCAUGUUUAUUAUUGUCAUUAUCAAUUAUCUUUAUAAUUCAUAAAUAAAAACAUUGUUUAAAAAUAACAUACAUUAAUUUGAGAUUAUAAUUAACAAAUAAAAAUGAUAUUAAAAUCACACUUUCAAUUAUGGAUUUGAGAUUUUGUAAUUUAUGGUUUUGUUUGGGCUUCAAUUGUGAUGGUUUAAGCUUUAUUUUAUGUAAAUUUUAAGAUUAGUUUUAUAUAAAAUUUAUAUUGUUAUAACACAACUACUAUUCACAUUAACAUCUAUAUAUUUAAAAAUCGCUAUUAUAAUUAGUGGUUCUUAGCCCGAAGGCAGAGUAGAUGAUGGUAACAUGCUAGAAUCAGGCGGAGCCGGCUAUAAGGAUAACAGUAGAAGCAAAUCUCCACUGCUAAGGAACCUGCACGACACCAAGAAACAAAGCUGAAAACUAAGCUAACCAGCUCAAAUGCAUGCUAACAUUUUGCACCAAAGAAGAGGGUAAUUACUUGAGUAGGAAAUAAACAACUAGGCAAAGCUAUUUUGCAGAUUGACAAGUUCGAAAACAAACAUGGUGAGGACCUUCUUUCUUUAGAUUUCCAAUGGAUGGAUUCCAGUAGUGUAACCUAGAGUCCCAGUGCGAGGAGAGGAGCAUAACUUCAUCAGUUAAAUCCCAGCGAAAAUCAAUGCCCACGGACGACCAGUGGGGCCCAAAGGAAACACAAAGCAACAGAUGACAAAAUGGCAUGGCGAAUUAUCUUAAUGCACACAGUAGGAAAAGAGAAUAGGUUACUUGGAAUCAAUUGUUGGGGAUCGAUCUCAUGAACAAAGGGAACAAUUUGGUGUAUACUUAUAGAGUUAUAACAGCUUUUUAUAACGCAAGAUUUCUUUCCACGAGGAACAGAUAGAUCCACUUUCACUGCUCAAUCGAGGCCCUGCCUAGAAAAGGAACAGAUUAUUUUAUGUUCUUGACAUCUGGGAGAGAACCUCAAAUAGAGAAGUCAUUGGAGCACAAGUGAAUAUGAAGCAUGAUAAGAAUCGACAUUAUGAUAUAAACCAACAUUCAUUAACACAGUAGAAAGAUGAACUUCAUAAGAACAGCAUACUAGUAUGAAACUAGCUGAGCAUAAGGUUAAAGACUGGAAGAGAAACUGAAAGCAUGUAUCAUCCCAUUCAAACACAAGACUACCUGAGCAUAAGGUUAAAGACGGGAAGAGAAACUGAAAGUACGUAUCAUCCCAUUCAAACACAAGAAGCUACCACAAAGCCUAAUAAACUAUAAGCUUCAAAGUCAACAAACAAAGGUCUCCCAUCACUUGGCUAGCAUCAUCCUCACAAACUCCUCGUAAUUCACCUGGCCAUCACCAUCCACAUCAGCUUCUCUGAUCAUCUCUUCCACUUCUUCAUCAGUCAGCUUCUCCCCAAGAUUUGUCAUCACAUGUCGAAGCUGCACAUGUCAGGUGAACAUCAACACAGAGUAGAAACUAAAUCACCUGAGUAGCAGAUGUCAAUAGCAGAUAGGCAAUAUAUCAUCCAGUUUACAACAGGCUUAGUGACUAUAUGAAGUUACAAAUCAAGGAAGAGGAUAGCAUUAAAGAUACUGAUAUGGUGUUUACCUCUGCAGCAGAAAUAAAGCCAUUCUGAUCCUUGUCAAAUACCUUGAAAGCUUCUUUGAGUUCCUCCUCUGAGUCAGUAUCCUUCACCCAGAAAGUUUAAAUUCAAUAAAAAGUACAGCAGAAUAUACACGUCAACAGGAAAUUGAAAUCUUUUAACCAAGGAAAAGUCAGUUUCCACGAAAUAAACACAGGAGGUGAUAGUUGCACUCUUCAAUUGAUUAACCAAGCUCUGAUCGUUCCAUUUAUUUUGCAAGCUUACCAAUAUGCCAUCAAGAUGUCUCAAACAAAAGCCAUGGUACCUUGGACCUUGACACAUUACAAAUGCUCAUUUUUUAUUUUUUUUAUGCAGAGAUAAAAUGUUUCAAAAUAAACACAAGCUAAGGUAGACUAAAAUUAAACAUUACUCUUUGGUUUCAAAACAAAUCUUAAAUUUGAAACUAACAUGAACUAAACUUGUCAAAAAACCUAAACAUAAUUUAUUUCACUAAUGUGAAAGUAACAUGAACCAAAUCCUGUGAACAUCAAACAAAAAGAAACCCACAAACUAAAAAUCCCAAGGUAUGAGUUUAUUUUGGUAGCAAAUUCAAGUUCAGCAUUUCAGUUAUGUGUGACAAUCAGAGGAUGGUGGAGACUAGAAAGUUUUUGUUUGAGAAACCCCAAAGGCAUUUUUGCCAGUUCAUGUAAGAGAGAGAAUGACUGAACUGUGGUUAAACCCUUGAGGAGUGUAAAACACCCUUCAAAUGAAAACUUCAAAGGUAAAGAAUCAUGCUAGUUGGAUUAUUAAGAAUGGAAGAUAGGCAAAAUAGAGAAACGUUUGCUAGCAUGACAAAACAACAAUAACCAAACAAAAUAGUAGUAGCAGCACCAGAAAUUGCUGAAUUAAUUACUUGUGAAUCAACUGGAUACACAAUAAAUAAAGAACAUACUGUAAAUCUAGAAUUUCAGGACAAUCCAGUGCUUCUGAACUAGACUUCUGCACGAAACAACUCACAGCCAUCCAAAUUUAAAACAAAAAUUCUAAUAUGGUACUGGAACAUUUUAAACUUUUAAAAGAUAACUAUUCACAAAAAAAACUUACUGGUGUGCCCCAAGCCCAACAGAGUAAACAACAGCAAUAGUACUAUAAAAGUUUACAAAGCUCACCUUCAUUUUCCUUGCCAUCAGAUUCAAAAAACUCAGGGAAAUCAAUAGUUCCAUUUUGAUCAGCAUCAACUUCAUUGAUCAUGUCCUGCAAUUCAGCUUCAGUGGGGUUUUGUCCCAGAGAUCUCAUCACUGUCCCCAACUCUUUGGUAGUGAUGCAACCUUGAACAAUAAUAGUAAUUAUAGAAGCUUUUUACACUUUUAAAAGGCUGUAAUGUUAAUUUCACAAUUGUACUGCGAAGGAGCAGAUGAACUGCAAGACAUCAUACACAGAUUAAAAGCAUUCCCAAUCUAACACGAAAUAAAUACUUCUCGAUCAUCAAAAUUCCACAGCACAGUGCCAUCUAUUUACAAAUCGGACAGUUUUAAAUCACGGCAUACAAGAUAGCUGAUUAACUAGGACGUGUUUACCCCCACAAAAAUCAUACUCUUAUUGCAUCCAAGUGAUUUCGUCCACUAUCAUUUGAUAAGUUCCACACACAGAGCAAAGCACAAUAAUUGAAGCAACGCUUUAGUUGAUGGAAGUUCAACUUAAGACAAUUAAUUAAGAAUUUGAAAGUGAGAAUCUCACACAACCCAUUUCUUUAAAAUUUCCCAUCUCAGAGAAAACAGGACUCAGUCAGUCCUGCACAACUACCUAAUCCAAAUGGCGUCCUAUACAUAAACCCAUCACAAGAGCGCAAACAACUAAUCACCAGAAGAUCCUAAAUGGACCAUCAAGAUGACAAUAUAGAGAGCAAUAACAAUUGAUUUGAUUCCACGGAAAAAGCUUCAGCCUUCAAUAAAUCAUUUGUAAGAACAACCCACAAACUUUCCAUGAAGAAGAACAUGCCAGUAACAAACAACAAAGAAAUAAAAGAAGACAUCAACACAUCAUGUACUAAUCAGUAGCAAGAGAAGAGCAAACAAUCCACAGUAGAUCUUCUCUUGACUAAAAAAAAAAAACCAAUCAAAUGGUGUAGAGAUAAUAACAAUACCAUCGCCAUCUUUGUCAAAUAGACUAAAAGCCUCCUUGAACUCCGCGAUCUGUUCCUCUGUUAGCUGCUCCGUCAUGUUAUUACUAAACAGAUACUCCGGGUUUGUUUUAGUUUAAGGCUGCUUGUGUCUGUUUAUAUAUGGAAUAAUUUUUUUUUUUAUGGUUAAUAAAUAAUAUUUCAAAUUUAAUAAAUAAAAUAUAAAAUACUAAUUAUAUUCUUGUUUACUGACCGUAUCAUGGUAGUUUUUGUUUUUGACCGAUCCAAUAAAAAACAUUAUUUGAUUAGAUACAUAGGUUUUAUUUUUAUACUGGCUUCACGUAUAGUUAUAAUUUAUAUUUAUAUUAUAUCAUUUUAAAUAAAUAUACAUUUCUUUAAAACCAUAAUUUAAAAAAAUUUAACCGCAAGCAAAUGAGCUACUAAGAAAGUAAUUUAUAACCAUUCUGGCUUUUCGUAGAGCCUGACCCACAUGAUUCGGGUUGCUAAGUUCUGGGCUAAGAAUUUGAUUUGAUUUGAUCCAACGGUGGAAGACUGUUGACUUAAAUUUGUUGGUAUUAUAAUUAUUUACUUCCCUUUUUUUUUCCCUCUAUUUAUUAAUUAGUUUACACCCUCCCGGGAGGUCUUCGUCUGCGUUUCCAGGCAUCGACAAGGAAAUGUCCUGACUCCUUGACUGGCCAGACCUUCCCCGAAAAUCACUCAUCAACAAUAUGCUUGAGACCUGUCGAUUAAAUGGGGGUAGUUUCUAGGAAACCCAGGUUAGAAUAGAACACAACUUUGAACCUCAUAAUUUAUUUCUCUAAUGAUCGAGAGACAUGUGUGUUUUAUUUUUGUGAUUAAAGUUGAAUUUUAUGUACGAAACCAUAAAAAAAAUUAGAAAAAACAAAAAAAUUAAUUUUUAUAAUUAAGUUUUAUGUAUAAUUAAGUUGUAUCCAAUCUCAAUUUCAACCAUAACCAUUAAAAAUACAAUUAUACUUGUAGAUUUAAAGUGUCAGAAUUAUAAUUUUGUUUUAUUGUGCAUUUUUUUUUAGUUAAGAAAUGUUGAGAUAUUGUUUAUGUUUAAUUUAAUUUAAUAAUUUAGAAAAAUAUAUAAAUGGAUAGAUUAAAAAAGAGAUGUUAAAACUAAUUAUAUGUUAAAAUGAGAAAUUAAUAUUUUUGUGGAAAGCCUUUUUAAAUAAGUGUGUGUUUGUUUAACCCCGAUUUUUCUUUGUAAUUUAUUCUUUUUUAUCUAAUUAUUCUUUUAAUUGAGAAUAAAUAAUUUUUAUUUUUAUUUUUUAAAAUACAUCAUGUAAAUACAUUUUAUUUAUAUCAAAUAUAAAAAAAUUAAAGAUAAAUUAUUUUAAAAUAUUAUCAGAAUAUAAAAAAAUUAAAAAAUAACUAUUAUUUAAAACAAUUGAGCUAAAUAAUUAAAAAAAAAAAUCAAAGAGGGGGGCCAUUGAUUUAAGUUUAGAUAAAAACAAUGAAAAGUAAAAAAGGUGCAUUAAUUAAUUAAAAUUAAAAAAUAAUAAAACAAAAUAAAAGACAUCUUGCAUUGCUGUCUGGGAAGCAAAGUCACUAUCCAAGAGCCCAGGCAUGCCUCGGCUAGGAAACUAGGCCCACAUUUCUAGGCUGAUUUUAUUGUUUUGUUGGAUAGAUGACAUGCUCCAAUUUGUUUUAUACUUGGAUUCCUAAAAAGACAACCUAAAAACCUUUAAAAACUCGUAUAAAACUGCAAAAACAUCUAAUCUAUUUUAAAAACAAAAAUUAAUCAAAUUGGAAUGUGAAAUGCAAGAUUUUCAACUAUCAAUCAUAUAUAUAGAGAAAAUUAAAGUUUUUCAUACCAACAACUUUUGUUUUAUUUGUUAAAUUUGAUGUUUAUUCUUUUAAUUUUAAUUUUUAACUACCAGUCUAUUUUUAUUUUGCAAAACUAGUCUUUAAUUCAUAAAAAGAAAUCCCAAGGCACUUUAUAUAUAAUAUAUGAAAAAAUAUAAAUCAAAAGACAUCAACCUAUAAAACUAUAAUCAUAAAACUUUGGAAGACAGAAUUAUAAUUGAAAAAGUUGCAGUGGCCCCAAAAGAUUUGAAAAACAACUCCACUGUGACAACACCUCGUUCUUUUAGUAUACUAGUUAAUUUAAAUUUUCUUUUCUUUUCUUUCUUAUUUGUGCGUCGAGAUCAUAGGCUUCCUGUCUUAUAAUGCUGUAUUGACCUGCAUGCAGUUGAACAAAUAACUGGGUUUUGUGCAGAAGGCAUGACAGCAACAAUGCUUUAGUGUCCUAAAAUUUCCUCGAAUUAUGUGCAAAAUAUCUGAAAAUAAGCACAUAGAAUGUUGUUUUUACAUGCAUAAUCCAACAAGACAUCCAAACGUCUAUAUUCUAGUGACCGGAAAUACAAACAGUUUCAAAACAUAUUAUGGUCAACUCUAAUAUGAUUUGAUCAAAUCUUUCUGGAGAUUUUACAACGUGAAUGCAUGAAACUCACUCUCUCAGCUUUGCGAGCAAAAUUUGCAAAAGCGGAAAGCCUAAUUAGUUGGACUGUAGUAUACAAUCAUGAAGAAAAAAUAGCUUUUUAGUUAAAUCAGUAGCCAAAAAGAAGCUCGAAUUGAAGGGAAAGGCAGAUGCAUCUACUCAUGGACCUGGUAUUUGUUCUUGAUGGCUAAGGCUGCUGCUCUAUACCAUGCAGCUGCAGCCAUAGCCCCAGGGUCUGGCACUGUAGCAAGGAUGUCCGGGAGAUAUAUGCUGAGAGCGACCGGCCUGCAUAAGCUAUAUGGUAAGAUCUCCAACACCCAUACAAUGCAAUGAAUGAAUUAUGGAAGUGCUUUUAUUGCUAUACCAGGUAAGGUAAAGAACUAGCACAUGGCAUUUGUCAUUUAUUCUUACUCGAGUGAAUUAUUUUUACUUUUAUGAACAACCCUGCAAUGGUCUUUCAAGGUUGUCAGCGUGACCUGUAUCUAUUAUGGAAACUCUUCCAGCUUCACUCAUGCUGCUAGUUUUUACAGGCUUAAAAGGACUCAAAAAAAUGCCACUUGGAUUUAGAUAGGACAGCAUGAAAAAGAAAUACCACCGUAUAUAUAGUAAAAAACAAUGAAUAUGUGAUUGGUAGUCAACAUGGACAAAAAUAUUAGAAAGGAAACAUGCAUAAGGAUAAACAUCCAUUAAAUAAUUGGAAGUAGAAACCUUUUUACCUUGACAACUUUUGUGCGUUCUUUAUAUUUAAAGUUCACUCUACCUGACUUUUGUUUCUCUAAGAACAGGGUUUGACUUGAAGCUAAUGCCUCUGAAUAUAAAAAUUACACAUUGAAUGAUAGUUCAAUCUGUAAACACCCCCACCCCCCAAUCCUUCCGUUGCUGUGAGUUAAAUGCUUGUAUUUUGUUUCUAAUUUUAAGAGAUGCGAAUUGGAAAGGGUGUAAAAUUGGUUGCAAUUUCACCUAGUCCAUCAUUUACUUCAUGUAAACAUUCAUUCACUUGUUUUCCAUACGGGCUCAAAAAAUUGGUGGAAAUCAUUACCAACCUCUUUUACCAUGAAAAGCAUUGUGCUUUAUCAGAGCCAUUUUUGGUCAGAGUCAACUUGCAUAAUGUCCUUUGAGUCAAACAGGUGAUUGGGAAAGAUACAUGCAAUAGGAUCUAGAGAAAAGAAAAGGAACAGAAAUGUCACCUUGCCUCCAUGUGUCUGGUUGAUUCAGCUCCAGCCACUGCUGCUUCAGAUGAGAGGAGAAAAGCAAUGCAAGGAUCAUCUCCAGCAUUUAGCCUCUGCUCAUGAAAGUAACUAGAUUAGUAUCAAAAGAUAAUGCCACAUGAACAGAGAAAGUAGAAAAAAGUAAUUAUUGUUGACCUCCUGAAGAACAGCUGAAGCUGGAAUAAGGGCAUCUAACAAUGUGCGGAAUCCAACUAGCCCCACCAUAUUUACUGACAGCAGCUAUGGAAGUUUCAAGUGCUUCAGCCCCUGAUUCAAGAGAGUAGUUAGAAUCAAGAUUUUCCUGUUCGACGACAAUCACAUUUGGAGUAUCAUCUCACAUUGUUUAGAUGUGACAACUGACUGGGUGUUUGCUUUCAACUUUGCACAAGCUGCCUUGCAGAAUAUUGUGUAUCUGUUUUACAAAGUAGAAAUGAAUAAGAGUAGAUGUGCAUGCAUGAUUAUAAGAAUCAAAAGAAACGAAUGUGAAUCUUAAUCAAGUUUUGAGUCAAUGCAAGUAAAUACAUGAUCCCACUGGUUCCUCCCAUAACUCUUCUGAUAGAUGAUCCAAUUUCACCAACUGUUUCUGCAGCAUCAUUCAAGGGAUAACUGGAAAUAGAAGAAUGUGAUUCAGGCAAGUCAUGGGAAAAGUAACUUUAUUCAAGAAAUAAAAGUUUCUUACAAUUUACAAAGAGACUAAAACACAUAUUAGCCAUUCAUCAUAGAGCAGUAGUUUAUUUCUUUCUGGUAGAUGCAAUCAAUUAAUGAGAACAAAUGAUAGCAUAUGAAAAUCAUAUGAAGUUGCCCCCUGAAUCAUAUGAAAAUUCAAUUAUAUGUUAAAAACAUCCCUAAAACUGAAAAAAUAUACAACAUCCUACAAAAACUUCUGAGCAGUAGGGAAGAAAACUUACUGUUUCUUCAUGUCCUCCAGGAUUGCUGUUGCACCCCUAUACAUCUGCAAAAGCAGACAAAUCAACCCUGCAUAAAGUUAUAAUUGCAAGAUGAUGAGAACAGAAUUUGAGAUAGACUCACAGUGGAUCCACAGUCACCAUCACCAACUCUGCCAUCCCAAUCAUUUAAAUUGUCUCUAAGAUCUAUGAUCGCAUUCACCGCUGCUUCGAUAGCCACCUCAAGAAGAUGUCCUUGUUCACUGAGCUGUUGUGGCCGACUCAACGACUAGUCAAAACCAUACAAGGGAGGUCAGGUUUGACAAAGUAAUCAUUAUUCAACCUAAUACCAUAAAUAGCACAAAUUUUAUAGAAAUUUGGCAUAAGGGUGACCAUCCAGUAUAAUGUUUUUGCCAGCAGAAAUACGUGCAGAGUCUACUGGCAUCUACCUGAAUGGAAAACUUUUUUACCUAAACAAUUGUUUUUAUUUGACUCAGUGCCAGAAGGGGCUUUUAAUGUUUUUAGCAUGUGUAACUAUUCUACAUGACCCUUCUUGGUUCCUAUAAGUAGCAUCAGCAAUUCUGAAACAUGAGCUCAGCUUUUCAUCUCAAUAAACGCAAAGGCUAACCCCAGCUUCUCUGGAUUGGGGGAGAAGGAUGAGGAUGGAAGGGAAAGAUUUUAAAAUUAAAGAAAUAGUUGGGGACAACUUACCAAUAACGCAUAUACAUACACACAGGAAGAGAGAGAUAUGAAGUGCAUGACAUAGACAAUUAUAGUUGAUAGCAUGUUGAAUCUUCAAAUUGUUUUCUAUAGAAUUAACAGUAGAAAAAUCAAGAAAUCCAAGCUGUUAGGGAACUUUAAUCAGAGAAGAGAGUUGUCUUUUCCUAAGAUCAGAUAUGGAAGUAGAGAAAUAUAUCAAUAUGAAAAUACCUCAUCACUCUUUCCUGAAUGAGACAGUGGCAGGGGAACAGGGAUCUUGGCUGGUGGGCGAUUACCUGCAAAGACAACUCGUGAGACCAAUCAACAUGAAAUCAGUAGUAGAACUUCUAACUGACUUUAUAGUUCAAAUUAUAUAGGUUUCUAACAAAAGUUACUAAAGGAACAUAGAUCACCAGUUAUUGAUGCUACCUAAUUGUAAUGAAGAAUUAUCUUAUAAAUCAAUCUUAUAGACCAGAAGCCAUGCAAUUAACCACAAAGAAUAAAAGCAAUAUCCUGGCAUGUCACCACAAACCAUCUACACCAACAGGCCAGUAUGGAGCCUUCGUAGAAGCAUCCAAACGUUGCAGAAUUGCUUCAUCUGCCUUCAUUAUGGAGAUUGAGAAUCCUGAAAGAAACAAAAGCUGAGAUAAGCUUCAUUAACAGAAUGCUCUUUCAAAAAUCCUGAAAGAAACCUAACAUUGAGAUGAACAAUUAUAUCAGUUCCAAACCUGCCAUAUCAAGGGAAGUCAUGAAAGAUCCAGUAUACACUCUAUCAACAGCCAAUCCAUGUUCCAGCUGCAACUGAGGAACUGCUUUUCCUGCUACAAUCAUUAGCUCCAUUGCAGGGGUGGCACCUAGUCUGCAAUUU